rnacentral:rRNA from 1 species
AGGGAGUGGCGCACGGGUGCGUAACGCGUGGGAACCUGCCCUUAGGUUCGGAAUAACUCAGAGAAAUUUGAGCUAAUACCGGAUAAUGUCUUCGGACCAAAGAUUUAUCGCCUUUGGAUGGGCCCGCGUAGGAUUAGAUAGUUGGUGGGGUAAUGGCCUACCAAGUCGACGAUCCUUAGCUGGUCUGAGAGGAUGAUCAGCCACACUGGGACUGAGACACGGCCCAGACUCCUACGGGAGGCAGCAGUGGGGAAUAUUGGACAAUGGGCGAAAGCCUGAUCCAGCAAUGCCGCGUGAGUGAUGAAGGCCUUAGGGUUGUAAAGCUCUUUUACCAGGGAUGAUAAUGACAGUACCUGGAGAAUAAGCUCCGGCUAACUCCGUGCCAGCAGCCGCGGUAAUACGGAGGGAGCUAGCGUUGUUCGGAAUUACUGGGCGUAAAGCGCACGUAGGCGGCUUUUCAAGUCAGGGGUGAAAUCCCGGGGCUCAACCCCGGAACUGCCCUUGAAACUGGAUGGCUAGAAUACUGGAGAGGUGAGUGGAAUUCCGAGUGUAGAGGUGAAAUUCGUAGAUAUUCGGAAGAACACCAGUGGCGAAGGCGACU